ACGGCUCAGUAACACGUAGACAACUUACCCUGUGAUCGAUGAUACCCUCGGGAAACUGAGGCUAAACAUCGGUAGAUAAAGGAGGCUGGAAUGCGCCUUUGUUGAAACGUAAGGUCAUAGGAUGGGUCUGCGGCCGAUUAGGUAGUUGUUGAGGUAACUACUCAACAAGCCAAUUAUCGAUAAGGGCUCUUAACGGAGAGGCCCUGAGAGGGAGUCUGAGACACUACUCCCAGCUCUAUGGAGUGCAGCAGGCGGGAGAAUUCUCCAAUGUCCGAAAGGAUGAGAGAGGAAUCCAAAGUGCUUCUCAAUUUUGAGAGGCUUUUGUCCACUGUAAAAAGGCGGGCGAAUAAGGACUGGGCAAGACUGGUGCCAGCCGCCGCGGUAAUCCCAGCAGUCCGAGUCGUGGCCACAUUUAUUAGGUCUAAAACAUUCGUAGCCUGCAUUGUAAGUUCUUUGUGAAAUUGUUGCACUUAAUGCAACAGCGUGCAAGGGAGACUGCAGUGCUAGGGACCGGGAGACGUAAGGAGUACAUUCAAGGUAGCGGUAAAAUGUUUUAAUCUUGGAUGGACUGACAAUGGCGAAGGCACCUUACGAGAACGGAUCCGACAGUGAGGAAUGAAGGCCCGGGGCGCAAAAUGGAUUAGAUACCCGUGUAGUCCUGGCAGUAAACACUGCUCACUAAACAUUGGGCCCUCUUCGGGAGGAUUCAGUGCUGAAGCGAAGGCAAAGAGUGAGCUACCUGGGAAGUAUAGUCGCAAGAUCGAAACUUAAAGGAAUUGGCGGGGGAGCAC
rnacentral:rRNA from 1 species